CGCGAGGCGCGCGCCCGCCGCUGAAGCGGGGGCUUGGGAGCGCACGUCGCGCCUCACCUGCCUGCACCUGGACCCUGACCUAGGGAAGGCCCCAGGGACGGAUUUCUUUGCCGAAGGACGUUUCAAAAUUUUGCACUGUCGGGGCGACAAAAAGAGGAUUUAAGAGCCACAAGCGGUCCGCCCACGACCCAGACUUCAUUCCUGUGCAGCUUCCAGAGGUAUGCAGGCAGAGGACUGGAGGCGGGACCCUUGGUGGCACCAGUGUGCAGAUGUGCUGAUAGUGACUGAUUGCAACUUACUGGGAUGAGAUUUUUUUAAAAAAGAACUGAAGUUUGCGAGUGACCAAAGAUAAAAAUUAAUAAAUGGAAGACUUGGGACAUAAAAUCAAGUGUAAAGCCUAGAUAUUUGGUUAUUUUAGAAAAGCUUCACAGGUGUCAGUGGAGCUGUGUUAUUUGAGCUGAGCUGCACCUUGAAGAACAAACAAAAUUAUAAAUGGGCAAGUAAGACAAAGUGCCUACACUCAAAGAGUUCUAAAACUUAGAAGAGUUACAGAAGAAAAUAUGUUGCAUGGGAUAUCAACAGUAAAGGUCAAGAUAGAAGCCAAAGAAACACAGAGGGAGGGGAUUGAUGAAAUGCGAGAAGGAAGUGCUUUUAGAGGAAGUUGACAUUUCAUCUGAGUUAUAAAAGGUAUGUAGGUAGAGAAGAAAGGUAGGGGAAAGGGGUAUAGAGCCACUUCUGACAGAGGAACUAGAAGGUACUGAGGCAUUGAAAUUCAGGAUCACAUAAUCAUCAGAAAAUAGAGUGUGGUUCAUAAUGGCUGGAGCCUGGAACAGAGAUGCCAAUGUACAGAGUGUGGGGCUGAGCCAGAGAAAUGGUGAGGGAGGAUGCCUGUCCAUGAAAAAUGAGUCUUGUGCUUAGCAGUCAACUGGAUCUCAAAUGAAACUCUCUCCUUUGCUCUAUUCACUGGAAUUUUCUAACCUUUAUCUAUUUCCCCUUUAGGCAUACACAUGGAACUGAGUUACUACAUAUACAUACUAUCAUUGUCAUUUAUUUUUAAUAUAUUUAUACUUGAUUUAAACCAGAAACAUUAUUUCAUGGGAUGGAGCUUCUUAGGUGAAUGAAUCUUAAUGAGAGAACUUGAUCUUGUCUCCAGUUUUGCAGGAUCUAUAAUGUGAUUUGAUCACCUUCUCCAGGGAUGAGCAGGCCCUAGGGGACUCCCUCACACUAAUGAAACUUAUAAAUCAACAAAUUUGAUGCCAAAUCUGUUAUUGGGCAAAGGAAAUGUCAUUUAGUGAGCACCUACUCCAUACAAUAGUGGACACUUUACUCAUAUUAUUUAAAUUAGUUGUCACCAUAACACAGUGAUGUAUUUCUUAUCUUUAAUAAUACUUUCAUUUUAUAGAUGAGAAAUUCAAAUGAGAACAUUAAAUAACCUCCCCUCAUCUCAAAGCUACUAAGCUUUGAACUGAGGAAUCAAACCUAAGAUUCUUUAAUGUCUACUUCAUGCAAUGGGCAAAGAACAAUCAUAGUGGC